GACGAACGCUGGCGGCGUGCUUAACACAUGCAAGUCGAACGGUAAGGCCCUUCGGGGUCCACGAGUGGCGAACGGGUGAGUAACACGUGGGUGAUCUGCCCUGCACUUCGGGAUAAGCCUGGUAAACUGGGUCUAAUAACGGAUAGGACCACUUCCUGCACGGGCGGUGGGGGGACGCUUUUGCGGUGUGGGAGGGGCCCGCGGCCUAGCAGCUUGUUGGUGGGGUAAUGGACUACCAAGGCGACGACGGGGAGCCGGCCUGAGAGGGUGACCGGCCACACUGGGACUGAGAUACGGCCCAGACUCCUACGGGAGGCAGCAGUGGGGAAUAUUGCACAAUGGGCGCAAGCCUGAUGCAGCGACGCCGCGUGAGGGACGACGGCCUUCGGGUUGUAAACCUCUUUCAGCACCGACGAAGCGCAAGUGACGGUAGGUGCAGAAGAAGGACCGGCCAACUACGUGCCAGCAGCCGCCGUAA
rnacentral:rRNA from 1 species